CCCCAGACUCCUACGGGAGGCAGCAGUGGGGAAUAUUGCACAAUGGGGGAAACCCUGAUGCAGCGACGCCGCGUGAGCGAUGAAGUAUUUCGGUAUGUAAAGCUCUAUCAGCAGGGAAGAAAAUGACGGUACCUGACUAAGAAGCCCCGGCUAACUACGUGCCAGCAGCCGCGGUAAUACGUAGGGGGCAAGCGUUAUCCGGAUUUACUGGGUGUAAAGGGAGCGUAGACGGCAAUGCAAGCCAGAUGUGAAAGCCCGGGGCUCAACCCCGGGACUGCAUUUGGAACUGUGUAGCUGGAGUGUCGGAGAGGCAGGCGGAAUUCCUAGUGUAGCGGUGAAAUGCGUAGAUAUUAGGAGGAACACCAGUGGCGAAGGCGGCCUGCUGGACGAUGACUGACGUUGAGGCUCGAAAGCGUGGGGAGCAAACAGGGUUAGAUACCCCUGUA
rnacentral:rRNA from 1 species